AUACAAGAGACCGUUUCAAAUCCAAGUGUACAAUACAAAACAAAGAAGUCAAAAUCCAUUAUAAAAAAAGUUCAAUUCAUUAACUCAUUCACAAAAAAAAAAGAGAAAUCUUCAACAAAAAAAACCUUUACCAAAAAGAUCAAGAACAAAAGACUGAGGGGGGAUCUCUCUCCUCCGAACAACCACCGUACUCCCUCUGGCCAGCCGCGCCGCCUCCAUCACCGAUCUCCACCGCGUGCCACCACCACGAAUCACCUCCCAUCACUACUCGAUUUGAAACCCUCUCCCUCUGAAGAUUCAAAAGUCUGCAAUGCUUUCGUCUUCACUUCCUGCGACAUCGUUUCUUCAACCUUCAGUAUCUCUCAACCAUCUUCAGCAAUCCAAAAAUCUUUAUAGACAACAACGCUGCAGCAAAUACGAAUACACUCAACUCCUUGAUUUCACCGCAUGCGGAGAACAUUGUCAAGAGAAUCACAACAAAUUGAUUCAAGAAACGCAGUUGGUAUCAAUUUGAUUCAAGAAGCACCAUCUUCAACACAGAAUUAUCAAGGAUUUGAAGAUCCAACAUCAUGAAGAGUUUAAGGUUUGCAAGAGUGUUUGCCACAAAUAGUUUUCUAUGAUGGAUUGUAAGAGCAGAAUAUUAUUUAGGUUUAAGAAACAAAUGCAAGCAAAGGCCAUAGAGAAUACCCUUUUUUUGGUUGGGAGAAUAUCAAGGGAUUCAAGAUUCAACAUAUGAUCUUCAUGGACAAUUAAUUUUUUAUUCUGUGUAAAAAAUAUAAUAUUCGGGAUAAACAUUGUAGUUUGUAAACAAAUUAUUUUAUUAAUAUUCUGUAUAAACAAUGUAACGAUUUUUAUUAUAAAAAACUAAUAAUCCAUCGGUUUUCUUAAUAAACCAAGAUAAAGAAGGCGCGAUAUUUUUUAAAUAAUAAAAGUGCAGAAGCUGAGGUUCGAACCCAUGCGCUAAUAAAAUUAGACCUUGGUGUUUUAAAACUCGAGGUGAUAAGUCUUUACUUUUUAUGACGACCUUGUUUAUCUCGCUUCUAAUGCUAAGGUAAAACACAUUUUGCGUCCGAUAUUAGAUGCGUUAUUUGUAAUAGUGAAGCCUCGUCAUCUUAUGAUAAAAUAAAGAUAAUGUCAUAUAA